rnacentral:rRNA from 1 species
CUCUGAAGCUAAGCAGGAUGGAGCCCGGUUAGUGCUUGGAAGGGAGACCGCUGGGAAUACCAGGUGUUACAGUGG